CUCAACACUAUAGCCUAUGCUUGGGUAGUCCUACAGUUGUCCAAUCGUCCAACAUCAGUUGAUUGACGCCAUUUCCGGUCACAACUUGCAGACUUGUUUACGUGUUGCUGUGCGUUUUGUUGCCAACCUUACUUUGCUACCUGACAACUUUACGGUUUUUACUUUUUAAUUACCGUUUAUAUUUUUGGUUUUCCCUCACUCAACUUUUUUUCCCUCAACUUUUUCACUCCGGACGCUUUAUCUGGACAUCGUUCGUCAGGACCUCCAACAGCUGAAGCUAAGUAGUAACAUUAACAUGAUGCCUUCUAAUUGCAGUCGCUGUACUCAUAACAUACAGGAGAACGAUCGCCUUACGGCGAGGAUAGCUGUGCUACAAGCCCAGCUUCAGACGCAAUCGUUAGGCAAGGGUAAUUUCAGUGUAGGAAAGGAUGAAACAGCGUUUGUGCCACCAGUAAGUACAGAUAGUAACGUUAGUAUAAAUCCCGCAGCCGGACAACAUUCUCACGGUUUCUGGAGGGAAAUGCUGUAGGAAUGCUCAACCGGUGUCACUCAUUCAACCUACAGAAACUUUCAACCGUUUUUCUCCAUUAAGCAAUGAGUCGGAGUCAGAGGCCGAGCCUUCUCUGGUCUCUCCUCCUCCCGUUACGGGGUCUGAGACGCUGAAGCUUCCCACCAUUAGCUCUGACAAAUUGAAAACUCUAGUCAUUGGCGACUCCAUUACCCACAGUAUUAGACUUAAAACACUGAAGUGGAUGGCGGGAAAUGUUUUACUUUUAAACUCGGAAUAAACAGAGAUGCUAGUUCUAGGUCCCAAGAAACAAAGAGAUCUUCUGUUGAAUCUGACAAUUAAUUUUGAUGGUUGUACAGUCGUCUCAAAUAAAACUGAAAGCCCUGGGGCAUUAAUCUGGACCCUGAUCUCUCUUUUGAUUAACAUAUCAAGACUGUUUCAAGGACAGCUUUUUUCCAUCUAUGUAACAUUGAAAAUCUGAAACUUUCUGUCCAAAAAUUAUGCAGAAAAAUGUAUCCAUGCUUUUGUCACUUCCAGGUUAGACUACUGCAACGCUCUACUUUCCGGCUACCUGGAUAAAGCACUUAAUACACUUCAGUUAGUGCUGAACAUGGCUGAUAGAAUCUUGACUAGAACCACAUUUUUUAAAUCAUAUUACUCCAGUGCUAGCCUCUCUACACUGGCAUCCUGUUAAGGCUAGGGCUUAUUUCAAAGUUUUACUGCUAACCUACAAAGCAUUACAUGGGUUACAUGGUUUUGCUCCUACGUAUCUUUCCGAUUUGGUUUAGCCAAUUUGGCCCUGCCGUAUAAACCUACACGUACGCUACAGUCACAAGCCUCCUCCUCCUUACUGUCCCUAGAAUUUCUAAGCAAACAGCUGGAGGCAGGGCUUUCUCCUAUAGAGCUCCAUUUUUAUGGAAUGGUCUGCCUAUCCAUGUUAGAGACGCAGACUCGGUCUCGACCUUUAAGUCUUUAUCGAAGACUCAUCUCUUCAGUAGGUCCUAUGAUUGAGUGUAGUCUGGCCCAGGAGUGUGAAGGUGAACGGAAAGGCUCUGGAGCAACGAACCGCCCUUGCUGUCUCUGACUGGCUGGUUCCCCUCUCUCCACUGGAAUUCUCUGCCUCAAACUCUAUUACAGGGGCUGAGUCACUGGUUUACUGGUGCUCUUGUAUGUCGUCCCUAGGAGGGGUGCGUCACUUGAGUGGGUUGACUCACUGACGUGAUCUUCCUAUCCGGUUGGUUGCCCCCCUUUGGGUUCGUGCCAUGGGGGAGAUUUUCGUGGGCUAUACUCGGCCUCGUCUCAGGAUGGACCUGAGCCCUAUGACCAUGCCUCAGGACUACCUGGUCUGAUGACUCCUUGCUGUCCUGUCCACCUGGUCGUGCUGCUGCUCCAGUUUAAACUGUUCUGCCUGCGGCUAUGGAACCCAGAACUGUUCACCGGAUGUGCUACCUUGUCCCAGACCUGCUGUUUUCAACUCUCUAGAGACAGCAGGAGCGGUAGAGAUACUCUGAAUGAUCGGCUAUGAAAAGCCAACUGACAUUUACUCCUGAGGUGCUGACCUGUUGCACCCUCUACAAUCACUGUGAAUAUUAUUAUUUGACCAUGCUGGUCAUCUAUGAACAUUUGAACAUCUUGGCCAUGUUCUGUUAUAAUCUCCACCCGGCAGAGCCAGAAGAGGACUGGCCACCCCUCAUAGCCUGGUUCCUCUCUAGGUUUCUUCCUAGGUUCCGGCCUUUCUAUGGAGUUUUUCCCAGCCACCGUGCUUCUACAUCUGCAUUGCUUACUGUUUGGGGUUUUAGGCUGGAUUUCUGUGCAGCACUUUGUGACAUCAGCUUAUGUUAGAAGGGCUUUAUGAAUACAUUUGAUUGAUAACUCUUCCUGGAAGCGAGCAUGGCUAAGAUCUCAUCCUGUGAUGUGAUCCUAAUGAUUAAUAGCCAUCUAUGUACUUUAUUGGGAUAUAUCAUAUCGUAAAAGCCUGAGGAUUGGUAUAUUGUCAGUGCCAACAGGAUCUGGCACAUACAAUCUGGUUUCAUGAUGGUUAUGAAAAUAAAAAGUCUUUACUUUUGCAAGCCCCCUCACCCUGA